CACUGAGCGCACUGUAAUUGUGUGGAUUCUCCUGAUUCUCCAGGUUGAUAGCCAGGCACAAGUUCCCGUCCUUCACGGAGUGAACUGGGGCAGAUUGACGCUUGAUCCUGUACAAGGCUGGGUCUGUGUCGACACACUGCCUCCUCGUGGUGAGACUGCACUGGGUGACACUCUGUUACGGAGUGGUGUGCGCGUUCCGACCCGACCUUCCUACUUUGAGGAGACUAAGACCACAUGUAUCUGCCAUCUAAUUUGUUUUAUUAUUCUG